rnacentral:rRNA from 1 species
CGUGUAGGCGGCCGGCCAAGUCGGAUGUGAAAGCCCUCGGCUUAACCGAGGAAGUGCGUUCGAUACUAGCUGGCUUGAGUACCGGAGAGGGUGGUGGAAUUCCCGGUGUAGAGGUGAAAUUCGUAGAUAUCGGGAGGAACACCAGCGGCGAAGGCGACCACCUGGACUGAUACUGACGCUGAGACGCGAAAGCGUGGGGAGCAAACA